rfam:Stachybotrys chlorohalonata IBT 40285 unplaced genomic scaffold scaffold1428, whole genome shotgun sequence.
UACCUGGUUGAUUCUGCCAGUAGUCAUAUGCUUGUCUCAAAGAUUAAGCCAUGCAUGUCUAAGUAUAAGCAAUUAUACAGCGAAACUGCGAAUGGCUCAUUAUAUAAGUUAUCGUUUAUUUGAUAGUGCCUUACUACUUGGAUAACCGUGGUAAUUCUAGAGCUAAUACAUGCUACAAGCCCUGACUUCGGAAGGGGCGUAUUUAUUAGAUUAAAAACCAAUGCCCUCUGGGCUCCUUGGUGAAUCAUGAUAACUUCACGAAUCGCACGGCCUUGCGCCGGCGAUGGCUCAUUCAAAUUUCUUCCCUAUCAACUUUCGAUGUUUGGGUAGUGGCCAAACAUGGUUGCAACGGGUAACGGAGGGUUAGGGCUCGACCCCGGAGAAGGAGCCUGAGAAACGGCUACUACAUCCAAGGAAGGCAGCAGGCGCGCAAAUUACCCAAUCCCGAUUCGGGGAGGUAGUGACAAUAAAUACUGAUACAGGGCUCUUUCGGGUCUUGUAAUCGGAAUGAGUACAAUUUAAAUCCCUUAACGAGGAACAAUUGGAGGGCAAGUCUGGUGCCAGCAGCCGCGGUAAUUCCAGCUCCAAUAGCGUAUAUUAAAGUUGUUGUGGUUAAAAAGCUCGUAGUUGAACCUUGGGCCUGGCUGGCCGGUCCGCCUCACCGCGUGUACUGGUCCGGCCGGGCCUUUCCCUCUGUGGAACCUCAUGCCCUUCACUGGGUGUGCUGGGGAAACAGGACUUUUACUUUGAAAAAAUUAGAGUGCUCCAGGCAGGCCUAUGCUCGAAUACAUUAGCAUGGAAUAAUAAAAUAGGACGUGCGGUUCUAUUUUGUUGGUUUCUAGGACCGCCGUAAUGAUUAAUAGGGACAGUCGGGGGCAUCAGUAUUCAAUUGUCAGAGGUGAAAUUCUUGGAUUUAUUGAAGACUAACUACUGCGAAAGCAUUUGCCAAGGAUGUUUUCAUUAAUCAGGAACGAAAGUUAGGGGAUCGAAAACGAUCAGAUACCGUUGUAGUCUUAACCAUAAACUAUGCCGACUAGGGAUCGGACGAUGUUAUUUUUUGACUCGUUCGGCACCUUACGAGAAAUCAAAGUGCUUGGGCUCCAGGGGGAGUAUGGUCGCAAGGCUGAAACUUAAAGAAAUUGACGGAAGGGCACCACCAGGGGUGGAGCCUGCGGCUUAAUUUGACUCAACACGGGGAAACUCACCAGGUCCAGACACAAUGAGGAUUGACAGAUUGAGAGCUCUUUCUUGAUUUUGUGGGUGGUGGUGCAUGGCCGUUCUUAGUUGGUGGGGNNNNNNNNNNNNNNNNNNNNNNNNNNNNNNNNNNNNNNNNNNNNNNNNNNNNNNNNNNNNNNNNNNNNACGAGGAAUCCCUAGUAAGCGCAAGUCAUCAGCUUGCGUUGAUUACGUCCCUGCCCUUUGUACACACCGCCCGUCGCUACUACCGAUUGAAUGGCUUAGUGAGGCGUUCGGACUGGUCCAGGGAGGUGGGCAACUACCACCCAGGACCGGAAAGUUCUCCAAACUUGGUCAUUUAGAGGAAGUAAAAGUCGUAACAAGGUCUCCGUUGGUGAACCAGCGGAGGGAUCAUUA